UAUCUUAAGCUCAUUGAAACAAGCUGGGUUGUCCGCAGCAGACCGAUGCUUGGCUUGGAUUCUGCUGCCGUGUCCCCACACACGUGGGACAGAACUGGAGUCAGCACAAUGUACAGGCGUUUGGUUCUCGGGUGUGUUCCACUGUGUACAAGAUCAUGAGAGGAACAGAUCGGGUAGACGCACAGAGUCUCUUGCCCAGAGUAGGGGAAUCGAGAACCAGAGGUCAUGGGUUUAAGCCAGUUACAUCUUCCUGCACCCAAAUACCAAUCCAGUUCUAUUCCAUUCCACUGUGGCCCAUUCUUAGUCACGUGUGUGACCAACAAGGUGAAAAAUUGUGGACUACAUCUCUUCUAAUUCUGAAAGCACCACAGAUAUAUCCAAUGACGGCGACCACAGCCUUCCGUGGGGAAGAAUUCCGCAGAUUCACUACCCUCUGACUGAAGAAAUUCCUUCUCAUCUUCUUCCGAAAAGAACGUAUAUUAAUUCUGAGGCUAUGACCUUUAGUCCUAGACUCUCCCAUUAGUGGAAACAUCCUGUCCCCAUCCACUCUAUGCAUUUCGUUGUCUCUGUACUGUACACUGACAAUGACAAUUAAAAUUGAAUCUGAAUCUGAAUCUCUAUCCAAGCCAACUUAGUCCAGGCACCCCGACAAAUGAUUCAGUCCCACCGUGUUGGAUGGUGCAGUGGUAGAGUUGUCGCUUUACAGCGCUUGUGACGCCGGAGACCCGGGUUCGAUCCCGACUACGGGUGCUGUUUGUAUGGAGUUUGUAUGUUCUCCCCGUGACCGUGUGGGAUUUCUCCGAGAAGUACAGAUUUGUAGGUAAAUUGGCUUGGUAUAAGUGUAAAUUGUUCCGGGUGUGUGCAGGAUAAUGUUAAUGUGCGGGGAUUGCUGGUCGGUGCGGACUCAGUGGGCCGAAGGGUCUGUUUCCGUGCUGUAUCUCGAAACUAAACUAAACUAAGCUAAUGUCAGAGCAGAGGUACCAGCUGAAACCACCAACUCCACAAGCAGGGCAGCUCUCAGAUCGAUGAUCUGCACUUACAUCGUAAGCGAUGAACGCCGCACAACAAACAGAAUGAUCGCACGGAAGAUAGACAUUUAGAGACGGGGAGAAAUGAACCAAACAGAAAUAUGAAGGUACAGUCAGGUGUGAAGGAGGAGCAGUCAUCUGACAUUUGGUGUUGAGUCCCGAGAGCUGCAACAUACCAAGACAGAAGAUGAGGUGCUGUGUAGGAUGGAACUGCAGAUGCUGGUUUAUACCGAAGAUAGACACAAACUGCUGGAGUAAUUUAGUGGGUCAGGCAGCAUCUCUGGAGAAAAAGGAAUAGGUGACCUUUCGGGUCGAGACCCUUAAACCGAAACGUCACCUAUUCCUACAUAGGUUCAUUCUUGAUUAGUACGGGUGUCAGGAGUUAUGGGGUGAAGGCAGGAGAAUGGGGUUAUGAGGGAGAGAUAGAUCAGCUGUGAUUGAAUGGCGGAAUAGACUCGAUGGGCCGAAUGGCCUAAUUCUACUCCUAUCACUUAUGAUCCUGUGACCUUAUGAGAUGGAAUUCCUUCCAGCAUUUUAUGUCAAUCUUCGGUGUAAAUCAGCACCUGCAGUUGCUUCCAACACACUGUAUUAUUCGGGAAUCAUUGCAUAUACAGGCAGGGAAGGGUUAAGAAACUCGGCAGAAUAAUGCAGGUCCCAUGCCAGGAACCACAGCCUAAACAUAUAACAUUCUCCCUCGGUCUUUCUGAAAAUCAAAAUUCAGCAUUUUAGUGGCUAUGAUAUUUGUUUUCCUUCCCAUUGUUUCUCUGUGAGGAAACUCCACCUUGAGGCCCACAGCUUUGUCACCAUGAUGGAGACUAAUGGUUCACAAGUUCAUUCGUUCAUUCUAGGAGCAGAAAUAGGCCAUUCGGCCCAUCAAGUCUAAUCUGUCGUUCAGUCAUGACUAAGUCAUCUUUUCCUCUCAACCCCAUUCUCCUGCCUUCUCCCCAAAACCCCCGUCUCCCCUUGAA